rnacentral:rRNA from 1 species
GGAAUCUUCCACAAUGGACGAAAGUCUGAUGGAGCAACGCCGCGUGAGUGAAGAAGGGUUUCGGCUCGUAAAACUCUGUUGUUGGAGAAGAACGAACGUGAGAGUAACUGUUCACGUUGUGACGGUAUCCAACCAGAAAGCCACGGCUAACUACGUGCCAGCAGCCGCGGUAAUACGUAGGUGGCAAGCGUUAUCCGGAUUUAUUGGGCGUAAAGAGAGUGCAGGCGGUUUGUUAAGUCUGAUGUGAAAGCCUUCGGCUCAACCGAAGAAGUGCAUUGGAAACUGAUAAACUUGAGUGCAGAAAAGGACAGUGGAACUCCAUGUGUAGCGGUGAAAUGCGUAGAUAUAUGGAAGAACACCAGUGGCGAAGGCGGCUGUCUGGUCUGUAACUGACGCUGAGACUCGAAAGCAUGGGUAGCGAACA